CGGCGUGGUUUAGGCAUGCAAGUCGAACGCGAAAGUCUCUUCGGAGACGAGUAGAGUGGCGAAAGGGUGAGUAAUACAUGGACGACGUACCCUCGACCCUGGGAUAGCCCAUCGAAAGGUGGGGUAAUCCCGGAUAAUGUCCCUGGUUCAAUUCCGGGAGACCAAAGGCAGGGAUCCUUCGGGACCUGUCAGUUGAGGAGCGGUUCAUGUCUUAUCAGCUUGUUGGUGAGGUAACGGCUCACCAAGGCGAUGACGAGUACGGGGCCUGAGAGGGUGUUCCCGCACACUGGGACUGAGACACUGCCCAGACUCCUACGGGGGGCUGCAGUCGAGAAUCUUCCCCAAUGGGCGAAAGCCUGAGGGAGCGACGCCGCGUGGAGGAUGAAGGCCUUCGGGUUGUAAACUCCUUUCAGUUAGCAGGAAUAAGUGUAAGUCAAUAGCUUGCACGAUGACCCGCUUUCAGAAGAAGCACCGGCUAAACACGUGCCAGCAGCCGCGGUAAUACGUGUGGUGCUAGCGUUGUUCGGAAUCACUGGGCAUAAAGGGCACGCAGGCGGAAUGUCGUGUCCGGGGUGAAAUCCACCGGCUUAACCGGUGAACUGCCUCGGAAACUGGCAUUCUAGAGUGGAAAAGGGGAGAGUGGAACUCUAGGUGGAGCGGUGGAAUGUGUAGAUAUCUAGAGGAACGCCGGUGGCGAAAGCGACUCUCUGGUUUCCAACUGACGCUCAGGUGCGAAAGCGUGGGGAGCAAACAGGAUUAGAUACCCUGGUAGUCCACGCCGUAAACGAUGGGUACUAGGUAGAAGGGGUUCCUAAGCCUUUUCUGCUGGAGCUAAUGUAUUAAGUACCCCGCCUGGGGAGUACGGCCGCAAGGCUAAAACUCAAAGGAAUUGACGGGGGCUCACACAAGCGGUGGAGCAUGUGGCUUAAUUCGAAGCAACGCGAAGAACCUUACCUGGGUUUGACAUGCUUGAAGUAGGCGCCCGAAAGGGUUGCCCACCCGUUAAGUCGGGAGCUUGCACAGGUGUUGCAUGGCUGUCGUCAGCUCGUGUCGUGAGAUGUUGGGUUAAGUCCCGUAACGAGCGAAACCCUUGUCCUUAGUUACCAGCGGUUCGGCCGGGAACUCUAAGGAGACUGCCGGUGUUAAACCGGAGGAAGGUGGGGAUGACGUCAAGUCAUCGUGGCCCUUACGCCCAGGGCUGCACACGUGCUACAAUGGUCGAUACAAACCGAAGCGAAGUCGUGAGGCCAAGCAAAUCGGAAAAAGUCGGCCCCAGUUCGGAUUGAAGGCUGCAAUUCGCCUUCAUGAAGCCGGAAUCGCUAGUAAUCGCAGAUCAGCCAUGCUGCGGUGAAUGUGUUCCUGAGCAUUGUACACACCGCCCGUCAAGCCACGAAAGUUGGCAGCAUCCGAAGUCGGUAUCCCAACCAAUACUCUUGGGGGGAGCCGCCGAAGAUGAGGCCG
rnacentral:rRNA from 1 species